GAACUGCGAUACGUAGUGUGAAUUGCAGAGCGUGAAUCAUCGAAUCUUUGAACGCACAUUGCGCCCCCUGGUAUUCCGGGGGGCAUGCCUGUCCGAGCGUCAUUACAACCCUCAAGCUCAGCUUGGUGUUGGGCCCCGCCGCCCCGGCGGGCCCUAAAGUCAGUGGCGGUGCCGUCCGGCUCCGAGCGUAGUAAUUCUUCUCGCUCUGGAGGUCCGGUCGUGUGCUCGCCAGCAACCCCCAAUUUUUUUCAGGUUGACCUCGGAUCAGGUAGGGAUACCCGCUGAACUUAA
rnacentral:misc_RNA from 1 species